rnacentral:tRNA from 1 species
GCGUCUAUAGUUUAGUGGUAGAACGGCGGCCUUCCAAGCUGUUGGUCCGGGUUCGAUUCCCGGUGGACGCA